GCAUGCAAGUUGAGCGAAGCUUUUUGGUAGUUUACUUACUAGAAAUGACUGAGCGGCGAACGGGUGAGUAACGCGCGAGCAAUCUACCUUAGUUACUGGGAUAGCCCGAGGAAACUCGGAUUAAUACCGGAUAUUCUUAUUUUUUCACAUGAAGUUUUAAGGAAAGGUCAGCCGAACUAAGAUGAGCUCGCGUUCUAUCAGCUAGUUGGUGGGGUAAAAGCCUACCAAGGCUACGACGGAUAGCUGGUCUGAGAGGACGAUCAGCCACACUGGGACUGAGACACGGCCCAGACUCCUACGGGAGGCUGCAGCAGGGAAUAUUGUGCAAUGAGCGAAAGCUUGACACAGCGACACCGCGUGUGGGAUGACGGUUCUAGGAUUGUAAACCACUUUCAGGAGGGAAGAAAAUGACGGUACCUCCACAAGAAGACCCGGCCAACUAUGUGCCAGCAGCCGCGGUAAUACAUAGGGGUCAAGCGUUGUCCGGAUUUAUUGGGCGUAAAGAGCUCGUAGGCGGUUCAACAAGUCGGUCGUAAAAGUUUAGGGCUCAACCCUAAAAUGUCGAUCGAUACUGUUGUGACUAGGAUACGGUAGAGGUGAAUGGAAUUCCGAGUGUAGCGGUGAAAUGCGUAGAUAUUCGGAGGAACACCAAUUGCGAAGGCAGUUCACUGGACCGUAAUCGACGCUGAGGAGCGAAAGCUAGGGGAGCAAACAGGAUUAGAUACCCUGGUAGUCCUAGCUGUAAACGAUGGAUACUAGAUGUAGGAACUGGAUUGACGGUUUCUGUAUCGUAGCUAACGCGUUAAGUAUCCCGCCUGGGGAGUACGGUCGCAAGACUAAAACUCAAAGGAAUUGACGGGACCCCGCACAAGCGGCGGAGCAUGCGGCUUAAUUCGAUGA
rnacentral:rRNA from 1 species